rnacentral:rRNA from 1 species
GACGAACGCUGGCGGCGUGCUUAACACAUGCAAGUCGAACGCAGUGGCGAACGGGUGAGUAACGCGUAAUCAACCUGCCCUUCAGAGGGUGACACCGGUUGGAAACGACUUAUACUCCCCCAUCCUGAGGGAGGGGAUUGCGUGUGUUUAGGUAGUUGGAGGGGUAACGGCCCACCAAGGCGAUGAUAAGUAGCCGGUCUGAGAGGAUGAACGGCCCCAUUGGGAAUGAGACCCGGCCCAGACUCCUAAGGGAGGCAGCAGUGGGGAAGCUUCCGCAAUUGACGAAAGUCUUACGGAGCAACGCCGCGUGAGUGAAGACGGGCUUCGGGUUGGAAAGAUCUGUUAAUCGGGAAGCGGUACCGGAAUAGAAAGCCACGGCUAACUACGUGCCAGCAGCCGCGGUAAUAC